rnacentral:rRNA from 1 species
CGAACGCUGGCGGCGUGCUUACCACAUGCAAGUCGAACGGAAAGGCCCUGCUUGCAGGGUACUCGAGUGGCGAACGGGUGAGUAACACGUGGGUGAUCUGCCCUGCACUUCGGGAUAAGCCUGGGAAACUGGGUCUAAUACCGGAUAGGAGCCAUUUUUAGUGUGAUGGUUGGAAAGUUUUUUCGGUGUAGGAUGAGCUCGCGGCCUAUCAGCUUGUUGGUGGGGUAAUGGCCUACCAAGGCGGCGACGGGUAGCCGGCCUGAGAGGGUGGACGGCCACAUUGGGACUGAGAUACGGCCCAGACUCCUACGGGAGGCAGCAGUGGGGAAUAUUGCACAAUGGGCGCAAGCCUGAUGCAGCGACGCCGCGUGGGGGAUGACGGCCUUCGGGUUGUAAACUCCUUUCGCUAGGGACGAAGCUUUUUGUGACGGUACCUAGAUAAGAAGCACCGGCUAACUACGUG